AGGUUGGAGACUACAUGAGACUUUGACAGAUGGCGGGAAACCCUUCUCAACUGGUACGAAGCCGGCAGAGAAAUGUCUGGGACUUAGCCGAGGGCAACUGGAGAAGGGUUGUUGAUGGCAAAACAGGCAGAGAAAUGUCUGGGACUUAGCCGAGGGCAACUGGAGAAGGGUUGUUGAUGGCAAAACAGGUUGGAGACUACAUGAGACUUUGACAGAUGGCGGGAAACCCUUCUCAACUGGCAGAGAAAUGUCUGGGACUUAGCCGAGGGCAACUGGAGAAGGGUUGUUGAUGGCAAAACAGGUUGGAGACUACAUGAGACUUUGACAGAUGGCGGGAAACCCUUCUCAACUGGUACGAAGCCGGUAAAUAGAUGGCCAUAAAACAGUGACCGCUGAUUCGCGUCGAGUUCUUUCUUGCAUAACGCAGAGAAAUGUCUGGGACUUAGCCGAGGGCAACUGGAGAAGGGUUGUUGAUGGCAAAACAGGUUGGAGACUACAUGAGACUUUGACAGAUGGCGGGAAACCCUUCUCAACUGGUACGAAGCCGGUAAAUAGAUGGCCAUAAAACAGUGACCGCUGAUUCGCGUCGAGUUCUUUCUUGCAUAACGCAGAGAAAUGUCUGGGACUUAGCCGAGGGCAACUGGAGAAGGGUUGUUGAUGGCAAAACAGGU